GGAGGAUCCGAGCGUUAUCCGGAUUUAUUGGGUUUAAAGGGAGCGUAGAUGGAUGUUUAAGUCAGUUGUGAAAGUUUGCGGCUCAACCGUAAAAUUGCAGUUGAUACUGGAUAUCUUGAGUGCAGUUGAGGCAGGCGGAAUUCGUGGUGUAGCGGUGAAAUGCUUAGAUAUCACGAAGAACUCCGAUUGCGAAAGCAGCCUGCUAAGCUGCAACUGACAUUGAGGCUCGAAAGUGUGGGUAUCAAACAGGAUUAGAUACCCUGGUAGUCCACGCCGUAAACGAUGAUUGCUAGGUGUAGGUGGGUAUGGACCCAUCGGUGCUGCAGCUAACGCAAUAAGCAAUCCACCUGGGGAGU
rnacentral:rRNA from 1 species